UGUGAUCUUGUUGAUUCAUAUGGCAGACUGUUACAGGAUCAUAGGACUUAGCUGAAGGCAGGCUUGAGACUGCUGAAAAAGUGUUGGUGUGAUUCAGUGAUCCCAGUCAACACGGACUAUAUCCUGGAAACUGAAAAUUUCAUGGAAAAGAUCUAUUAUGAUGCUAUAGAAGUUGAAGAUAAGUAUCUUCUCCCCUUCUGCCUUGGGUCUGAAAGCAAGGGCAUGUACUAUAAAAUGUAUGAAAUAUAUUAUUUUAUCUUCUACAUUUGUUGAAUGAAUUGCUACGAAGUUUAUGUUGACAGAUUUGUUUGUUUUC